UAUACUGUUCAUUGUAUGCUUCACACCCUGUGCUAAAGGAGGAGACUCUGACCGAGAUGGUUAGCAGCAAGUGGUUUGCUGAGGACAAGAAGCUGCUGUGCCUUGCGCGACAAAAGCAUGCCAAAGAAAACAACAUUCCAUUGUCUGUAUACACCAACAUUGGAACCCCACAGUCCAAAAAGUGCAUAUCGAUUUUUUUGUAUUUGUAGAUUGAAAUAUUUUAGAAAAUAUUCACACAAUGUACAAAUCCUUUUCUCUUAAUAGGCUAUUAUUUAUGGUCUCGCCGUGACCCACAAGGUCUCAGUGGCACAUGCCGAAAACUUAUUUAUUGUUGGACAAACGUUACACACAAGUGAAAGAGACCAAUUUGAGCAGAGGAUCGAAAAGGAGUUGCGACAACAAGGGAAGUGAAUGAGUGAGCAAUAAAGUGCUUUUUCAAAAAUA